rnacentral:misc_RNA from 1 species
GUCGGAGGUUCAGUCCUCCCAGGCCCACCAUUCCUUUCGACACGAAGGUUAUCAGGGGCCGUAGCUCAGCUGGGAGAGCGCCUGCUUUGCAAGCAGGAUGUCGUCGGUUCGAUCCCGUCCGGCUCCACCAACCAUCUUCUGCGAAGAUGGGGCGUGUCGAGUAGAGACGGUGAGAAAAAAGUCAUUCGAAAAAGAGUUUGCGUCGAGCCUCUUGGCUCUGCGCCUGUUCUGUUUGACAUCGUAAAGAGAAGAUUUGUUCGAACUUCAUGAGCCGCAAGGUCUCAUGAUUUGUCGCAAGGGACGCUCAAUCCCUUGCAUAUGAUGGGUUUGCCUAACCGCGCCCUCGAACGGAUCUCGAGAAGCUGGUCUUUUUGUGCCAAUUCCAUUGAAGCAGGUCCCGCACAGGAUCUGGUUCGAGGCGACGAUCCCUGCGGGAUCGCGCUUAGCCAAUCCCGCAAGGGGUUUGGCUUGAACGACGAUCCCUUCGGGAUCGCGUGAUGGGUAUUGGCAAUGAGAACGAUCAAGUGUCUUAAGGGCAAUUGGUGGAUGCCUUGGCAUGCACAGGCGAUGAAGGACGUGAUACGCUGCGAUAAGCUACGGGGAGGUGCGAAUACCCUUUGAUCCGUAGAUCUCCGA